GGUGAUACAGCUCAGCGGUAGAGUAUUUGCCUAACAUGCACAAGGCUCUAGGUUCAAUCCCCAGUAUAAACU
rnacentral:tRNA from 1 species